rnacentral:rRNA from 1 species
AAUGAACGCUGGCGGCGUGCCUAAUACAUGCAAGUCGAGCGAACAGGUGAUGAUCUUGCUCCGCGGACGUGUGCCGCGCGCGUGUGUAUAACAUGUGUAUCACCUCCCUGUAUUACUGGUAUAACUUGGGAAAACCGGCGCUAAUACGGUAGAAGCUAUUGAUCCGCGUUGUUCAAUGGAGAAAUUCGGUUGUUGUGGCUCGUAUAGAUGGAUCCGCGCCUCAUUAUCGAGUUGUGAAGGUAACGGGUUACCAAGGGAACGAUGCGUAGCCGACGUGCGAGGGUGAUCGGCCACACUGGAACUGAAACAAGGUCCAGACUCCUACGGGAGGCAGCAGUAGGGAAUCUUACGCAAUGGGCGAAAGUAUGACGGAGCAACGCCGCGUGAGUGAUGAAGGUCUUCGGAUCGUAAAAAUCUGUUAUUAGGGAAGAACAAAUGUGUAAGUAAAUAUGCACGUAUUGACGGUAACUAAUCAGAAAGCAACGGCUAACUACGUG